rnacentral:rRNA from 1 species
UACAGAGGGGGCGAGCGUUGUUCGGAAUUACUGGGCGUAAAGGGCGCGUAGGCGGCCUUCUAAGUCGAACGUGAAAUCCCCGGGCUCAACCCGGGAACUGCGUCCGAUACUGGGAGGCUUGAAUCCGGGAGAGGGAUGUGGAAUUCCAGGUGUAGCGGUGAAAUGCGUAGAUAUCUGGAGGAACACCGGUGGCGAAGGCGGGUCUCUGGGCCGAUACUGACGCUGAGGAGCGAAAGCGUGGGGAGCAAACAGG